rnacentral:rRNA from 1 species
AUACGGAGGAUCCGAGCGUUAUCCGGAUUUAUUGGGUUUAAAGGGUGCGCAGGCGGCCAUUUAAGUCAGCGGUUAAAUCGUGGGGCUCAACCCCAUUCUGCCGUUGAUACUGGGUGGCUUGAUUGCGGUCGAGGUUGGCGGAAUUCGUUGUGUAGCGGUGAAAUGCAUAGAUAUGACGAAGAACACCGAUUGCGUAGGCAGCUGACCAGAUCGCAAAUGACGCUCAUGCACGAAAGUGCGGGGAUCGAACAGGAUUAGAUACCCUGGUAGUCCGCACAGUAAAUGAUGAAUACUUGUUUUCGGCGAUAUAAUGUCGGAGGCAAAGCGAAAGCGAUAAGUAUUCCACCUGGGGAGUACGCCGGCAACGGUGAAACUCAAAGGAAUUGGCGGGG